GAUUGGUUGGAAAGGUCAGCAGAUCAUCUCUUAAGCCCAGCAGCAGUAACAGUUGCUCAAAGCAUUUGUCAAUGGCUGUGAUGGCUCCUGUCCCUGCUUGUUCCCAGGCCUGUCUCUGCCUCACCUAACUCCAGGAACUAUAAUCACCUCGUAGCUCACUGAUGGAAACUUCUCUGGCCAGUCAAGUCUCACUCAGUGCUGCACUAUCAAUAUUGUAGCGGGCAAUUUCUCAGGAGACAAGAGCUGUUCUUCUCUCAGGCCUUUGUGCAUCGCCUCCAUCCAUAAGAGUGCAGACAUUCCAUCCCCCUAAGGCUUACCUGGAUCCAAGAGUCAUCCUCAAUGUCCACUGGGUACACUGCAAAGGGUAACAGUAGUAGCUCCUCUGCAUCAAGAGCACUGGGGCUCCCUGGAAGCUCAUGCUGGUCCCUGGGGCAACAGUAGU